GGGUUGUGAGGUUAAGCGACUAAGCGUACACGGUGGAUGCCCUGGCAGUCAGAGGCGAUGAAGGACGUGCUAAUCUGCGAAAAGCGUCGGUAAGGUGAUAUGAACCGUUAUAACCGGCGAUGUCCGAAUGGGGAAACCCAGUGCAAUUCGUUGCACUAUCGUUAACUGAAUACAUAGGUUAACGAGGCGAACCGGGGGAACUGAAACAUCUAAGUACCCCGAGGAAAAGAAAUCAACCGAGAUUCCCCCAGUAGCGGCGAGCGAACGGGGAGCAGCCCAGAGUCUGAAUCAGCUUGUGUGUUAGUGGAACGGUCUGGAAAGUCCGACGGUACAGGGUGAUAGUCCCGUACACCAAAAUGCACAGGCUGUGAACUCGAAGAGUAGGGCGGGACACGUGGUAUCCUGUCUGAAUAUGGGGGGACCAUCCUCCAAGGCUAAAUACUCCUGACUGACCGAUAGUGAACCAGUACCGUGAGGGAAAGGCGAAAAGAACCCCGGCGAGGGGAGUGAAAAAGAACCUGAAACCGUGUACGUACAAGCAGUGGGAGCACCUUCGGGUGUGACUGCGUACCUUUUGUAUAAUGGGUCAGCGACUUAUAUUCUGUAGCAAGGUUAACCGUAUAGGGGAGCCGCAGGGAAACCGAGUCUUAACUGGGCGUUAAGUUGCAGGGUAUAGACCCGAAACCCGGUGAUCUAGCCAUGGGCAGGUUGAAGGUUGGGUAACACUAACUGGAGGACCGAACCGACUAAUGUUGAAAAAUUAGCGGAUGACUUGUGGCUGGGGGUGAAAGGCCAAUCAAACCGGGAGAUAGCUGGUUCUCCCCGAAAGCUAUUUAGGUAGCGCCUCGUGAACUCAUCUUCGGGGGUAGAGCACUGUUUCGGCUAGGGGGUCAUCCCGACUUACCAACCCGAUGCAAACUACGAAUACCGAAGAAUGUUAUCACGGGAGACACACGGCGGGUGCUAACGUCCGUCGUGAAGAGGGAAACAACCCAGACCGCCAGCUAAGGUCCCAAAGUCAUGGUUAAGUGGGAAACGAUGUGGGAAGGCACAGACAGCCAGGAUGUUGGCUUAGAAGCAGCCAUCAUUUAAAGAAAGCGUAAUAGCUCACUGGUCGAGUCGGCCUGCGCGGAAGAUGUAACGGGGCUAAACCAUGCACCGAAGCUGCGGCAGCGACACUAUGUGUUGUUGGGUAGGGGAGCGUUCUGUAAGCCUGCGAAGGUGUGCUGUGAGGGUUGCUGGAGGUAUCAGAAGUGCGAAUGCUGACAUAAGUAACGAUAAAGCGGGUGAAAAGCCCGCUCGCCGGAAGACCAAGGGUUCCUGUCCAACGUUAAUCGGGGCAGGGUGAGUCGACCCCUAAGGCGAGGCCGAAAGGCGUAGUCGAUGGGAAACAGGUUAAUAUUCCUGUACUUGGUGUUACUGCGAAGGGGGGACGGAGAAGGCUAUGUUAGCCGGGCGACGGUUGUCCCGGUUUAAGCAUGUAGGCUGGUUGUCCAGGCAAAUCCGGAUAAUCAAGGCUGAGGUGUGAUGACGAGGCACUACGGUGCUGAAGUAACAAAUGCCCUGCUUCCAGGAAAAGCCUCUAAGCAUCAGGUAACAUCAAAUCGUACCCCAAACCGACACAGGUGGUCAGGUAGAGAAUACCAAGGCGCUUGAGAGAACUCGGGUGAAGGAACUAGGCAAAAUGGUGCCGUAACUUCGGGAGAAGGCACGCUGGUGUGUAGGUGAAGUCCCUGCGGAUGGAGCUGAGACCAGUCGAAGAUACCAGCUGGCUGCAACUGUUUAUUAAAAACACAGCACUGUGCAAACACGAAAGUGGACGUAUACGGUGUGACGCCUGCCCGGUGCCGGAAGGUUAAUUGAUGGGGUUAUCCGUAAGGAGAAGCUCUUGAUCGAAGCCCCGGUAAACGGCGGCCGUAACUAUAACGGUCCUAAGGUAGCGAAAUUCCUUGUCGGGUAAGUUCCGACCUGCACGAAUGGCGUAAUGAUGGCCAGGCUGUCUCCACCCGAGACUCAGUGAAAUUGAACUCGCUGUGAAGAUGCAGUGUACCCGCGGCAAGACGGAAAGACCCCGUGAACCUUUACUAUAGCUUGACACUGAACAUUGAGCCUUGAUGUGUAGGAUAGGUGGGAGGCUUUGAAGCGUGGACGCCAGUCUGCGUGGAGCCAACCUUGAAAUACCACCCUUUAAUGUUUGAUGUUCUAACGUUGGCCCCUUACCGGGGUUGCGGACAGUGUCUGGUGGGUAGUUUGACUGGGGCGGUCUCCUCCCAAAGCGUAACGGAGGAGCACGAAGGUUAGCUAAUCCUGGUCGGACAUCAGGAGGUUAGUGCAAUGGCAUAAGCUAGCUUGACUGCGAGCGUGACGGCGCGAGCAGGUGCGAAAGCAGGUCAUAGUGAUCCGGUGGUUCUGAAUGGAAGGGCCAUCGCUCAACGGAUAAAAGGUACUCCGGGGAUAACAGGCUGAUACCGCCCAAGAGUUCAUAUCGACGGCGGUGUUUGGCACCUCGAUGUCGGCUCAUCACAUCCUGGGGCUGAAGUAGGUCCCAAGGGUAUGGCUGUUCGCCAUUUAAAGUGGUACGCGAGCUGGGUUUAGAACGUCGUGAGACAGUUCGGUCCCUAUCUGCCGUGGGCGCUGGAGAAUUGAGGGGGGCUGCUCCUAGUACGAGAGGACCGGAGUGGACGCAUCACUGGUGUUCGGGUUGUCAUGCCAAUGGCACUGCCCGGUAGCUAAAUGCGGAAGAGAUAAGUGCUGAAAGCAUCUAAGCACGAAACUUGCCCCGAGAUGAGUUCUCCCUGAGACUUUAAGUCUCCUGAAGGAACGUU
rnacentral:rRNA from 1 species